CCUGGUGGUACAAAUGGUUGCGUGCUUGGCUGUUAACCAAAAGGUUGGUGGUUAAAACCCACCCACCAGAA
rnacentral:tRNA from 1 species